rnacentral:rRNA from 1 species
UACGUAGGGUGCGAGCGUUGUCCGGAAUUAUUGGGCGUAAAGAGCUUGUAGGCGGUUUGUCGCGUCUGCCGUGAAAAUCCGGGGCUCAACCCCGGACUUGCGGUGGGUACGGGCAGACUAGAGUGUGGUAGGGGAGACUGGAAUUCCUGGUGUAGCGGUGAAAUGCGCAGAUAUCAGGAGGAACACCGAUGGCGAAGGCAGGUCUCUGGGCCACUACUGACGCUGAGAAGCGAAAGCGUGGGGAGCGAACAGGAUUGA